AGUGAACGCUGGCGGUAUGCCUAACACAUGCAAGUCGAACGGGAGCACAGUAAGAGCUUGCUCUUACGGGUGUCGAGUGGCGGACGGGUGAGGAAUACAUCGGAAUCUACUUUUUCGUGGGGGAUAACGUAGGGAAACUUACGCUAAUACCGCAUACGACCUACGGGUGAAAGCAGGGGAUCUUCUGACCUUGCGCGAUUGAAUGAGCCGAUGUCGGAUUAGCUAGUUGGCGGGGUAAAGGCCCACCAAGGCGACGAUCCGUAGCUGGUCUGAGCGGAUGAUCAGCCACACUGGAACUGAGACACGGUCCAGACUCCUACGGGAGGCAGCAGUGGGGAAUAUUGGACAAUGGGCGCAAGCCUGAUCCAGCAAUACCGCGUGGGUGAAGAAGGCCUUCGGGUUGUAAAGCCCUUUUGUUGGGAAAGAAAAGCAGCAGGUUAAUACCCCGCUGUUAUGACGGUACCCAAAGAAUAAGCACCGGCUAACUUCGUG
rnacentral:rRNA from 1 species